GACGAAGGGGGCUAGCGUUGUUCGGAAUUACUGGCGUAAAGCGCGUGUAGGCGGUUGCCCAAGUCGGGUGUGAAAGCCUUGAGCUCAACUCAAGAAAUGCACUCGGUACUGGGUGACUAGAGGACCGGAGAGGAUAGUGGAAUUCCCAGUGUAGUGGUGAAAUACGUAGAGAUUGGGAAGAACACCAGUGGCGAAGGCGGCUAUCGUGGACGGUUUCUGACGCUAAGACGCGAAAGCGUGGGGAGCAACAGG
rnacentral:rRNA from 1 species